rnacentral:lncRNA from 1 species
GCGUCGACGGCGGCGGCGGCGUCGACGGCGGCGGCGGCGGCGGCAUCGGCGUCGGCAAGAGAGAGGGAGCGAGAGGAAGAGAGCGAGAGAGAGAGAGAGAGAGAGAGAGAGAGAGAGAGAGAGAGAGAGAGAGAGAGAGAGAGAGAGAGAGAGAGAGAGAGAGAGAGAGAGAGAGAGAGAUCUCGAGCGAGAGAGUUAGGGGGAAGAGGAAGACAGCUCGGACAGCUAAGUCGCCGCUGGUUGUAUUGAACACGGUGAAUGGUUCAUCGUGUCUAGACACGGUGAACCAUUCACCAUGUUUAGACACGGUGAUCCAUUCACCAUGUUAAAAAACACG